rnacentral:lncRNA from 1 species
AUUUUGGCACCAGGUGUUGCUGAUCCACAUGGAACUUGGCAUAGCUGCAAGCUUGAUAUAAACAACUGCUCACCUACUCAGCUGCAAACAAUGCAAAGUAACUUCCAAAAACCUUUAAGAUGUAUUGUAUUUUAUUUAUUUAUUUGAUAAUUCAAAGCAUUGCUAAGAACUGACAGUUAUAUAAUUUACUUUGGAUCUUAUCUCGGGGUUUGCAUUCAGGUUUCAGGACACAAUUCUUAAAUGCAUUGGCUGGACUGGGCAUCUCUUCAUCCAGAGGGAUGUUUAUAGACGCUUGUUAUGCCCAUUGCCAAACCGAAAUGCAGGAAACUUGGUUAAGAACUGACUCUCCGGUGCUGGGUAAAAUGGUAUGAAUGCUUCAUUCUUUUUCUUUUCCCCCCUUCACAUCUUGACGAUUUAAUUCCUUUUUAAUGAUUGAAAAUCUGUUCUCACAGUCAAUUGCAAAGGCAGUGGGAGACUGGUAUUACGACCGAAGUCCAUUCCAGAAGAUAGAUUGUGCUUACCCUUGCAACCCCACUUGCCACAACCGUGUUUUUGAUUCUAAUGUUCACUCAGAGGUUUAGAUUUGUGUCAAAACACAACAAAAUUUAAGAGCCAAGGUCAUUGAAAAGUCAUGAGCUUGAGUAAGAAAUAGAUAAGAGUAAUGAUUGAUCAAGUCAUUGAAAUAAACAAAGGCAACCACUGCACUCAACUUGUGUGCUGGGUGUCUUACAUAUUUUUCAUGUAACUUAUUGUUAUAAACUCAGUGAAAUAUAUUAAUUUCUUAUUAUUGGAUUAUUGGCGGUAAAAGACCAAUUAUUUUAGAUUGAUUUUGUUCAACCUUUUUCAAUGUCUUAAAGACCCUUCUUUUUCUUUUAACCUUGCUCAGUCGGUAUGAACUAUUAUUUGUAUUGCAUAUAUAGUUAUUUUAUUUCAUAAAAAUCAGGUUUAUUUGUUUCUUUAAAAAAAAAAAGUUAACUCUCAUUCAAUUGGUUAACUCUUAACUACUGUCAUUUUAACAAAAGUUAAAAAUAUAAAUAUAAGAUGCUCAUGGGUCUUAGCUCCCCCCCCCCCCCCCCCCCUUUUAAUUUAAGCACUCAGUUAUUCAAAAUUUAUAAAAUUAAAUACUCUACAAAUUUUCAUAAUUUCAAAAGUAUACUACACAAUCAAUAAAACAAAUCAUUAUUUUAGUAGUCAUUUGAAUACUAACAAAAUCAUCAAUUGAAGAUGAAAUCAAGAUAACUCUUAAUAUAUACUUGCCAUGCCUUUACGAAUCAUCUAUCAAUUACUAGUAAGAGGAACGAUCUGGUACACGCAGUCGUGCACCUUAUAAUAUGCAACUUUACGCAUGCUAAUAUCUAGGAGAGAGAGUUAAUGGGAUCCACAAUACACUUCUCUAUCUCAAAACUCAGCUCCACAUCUCUCUCUCUCGCAAAUCUUGACAUGCACAGUCGUGCACUAUAAGAUGUGCAAUUGCGUGCACUUAAACAAAAUCUUUAAUAUCAAAAUGUUAGUAAAAAUAAUUAAUUAUGUAACUUUUUAAAAUAGUAUGUGUAUAUUUUUGCAAGCGGUGUUAUCUAAGAUGUUUCUCCUCUAACAUAAUUGUAUCCAUUUAAUUUGAACAAAGAGUAAUGCUAUGAUUAGACAUUGUGAUACAAAGAGUGUUUAUGGCUGUGUCAUUUUUUUCCAUUGCUAUUGCUUCAAAUGCACUGACCUCAUCUUCCACGAUGGGACAGUUGAAACUUGAAAGCAUUUUCCAUUUGCUGCUACUUCGACUCCACUAGCACCAUCUUCCGCUAUGGUGCAGUAGAAAGCAUUCUCCAUUGCUAUUUAUUCGAAUGCACCAACCUGCGCUUCUUUUGCAUUGUCUUUAAACUAGUCCCAUUUCAAGUUUUUUUUCCCCCUCUCUAUUCUUUUCCCUAUUUCAGGUAAUAACCAGUGAGUUAGUUAUUCCGCCGUUGUUGUUUCUUUUGAUAUAUUUUUUGACAUGGGGUUGUUCAUUUUUCUUGUUUCUUGUUCUUUUUGGAACUUCCAUUGAAGCAAGUAAAAUCAUUUUACUUGUAAGCUGCUGCAAGCUGUUAAAAAAGAUGGCAAUUAGUUUCUCAUUUUCUUGUUGAUGAAGCCUGUAUAUGAAUAAACUACGCGCCAGCUUGUCAUUUUGUUAUUCAAACCAUUAUAUGGCAUGUUCUGCUUUCUGUUUUCUGUUUCUUUCUUUUCUUUUUUUUUUGGGAAAAUUUUCUAAAUACUUAAUUUUUCUUUUUCCCCUGAAUAUCUACAGAAUCAUUGCUAGAACAACGAUGGGCCAAUGGUUCAAUCUUUUAGUAUGUGCACUCAUAGUACUAAAAGCUCAAGCAGGCUUUAAUGUAUCAAUCACCUAUGUUGAAAAUGCUGUAGCGAAAGGAGCUGGUGGGGAUUAGUACAUAUUUAUAUUGAUGCUUCAUUUUGUGAUUUUUCGUUAUUGCGUACUACAAUUUGUUAGCUGUUUAAUAUGUUUUGCAGUCUGUUUGGAUGGCAGCCCACCUGCUUACCAUUUUGAUAAGGGGUUUGGAGCCGGGAUCAACAAUUGGUUGGUGCACAUUGAUGUAACGUCCCCCUUUUCUAUCUAAAAACAUUUCUUAUAUUCACUGCAACAUUAAAUGAUAUGGAUGAAGAGUAAUCAAUCUUAAAUAUUAUAGGCAUAAGAAUUCUGGUGAUGUUUACAUUUACCAUUCAUGCUAUGUAUGUAUCAUCUACCUUUUUGUGAUUCAAUUUGCCUUUGGCUUUGGUUUCUUAGGGAGGAGCAUGGUGCAACAAUGUCGAAGAUUGUUCUAAGCGAAGGGAUUCCUCAUAUGGUUCAUCUAAGCAUAUGGUCAAGGAAGCUAAUUUUACUGGGAUACUAAGUAAUGAGCAGAAAUUUAACCCAGGUAUGACCUUUUUGUGUCACUUAUUGAUUUGAUUGAUGCAAAUCAAUAAAUUCCCCUUUCCAUUUCUAGACUUCUACGAUUGGAAUAGAGUCAGGGUUAGAUACUGCGAUGGGGCAUCGUUUACUGGAGACGUAGAGGCUGUCAAUCCAGUAGGUUAACUUUCGCCACAAUUUUCUUAUAUACAUGUUUUUGGGUUCCCUCCUGUGAUGUUUAGUUAGUCGGUGAUUUGAUCAGGAAACAAACCUUCACUUCAGAGGAGCAAGGGUUUUUGAAGCUGUCAUGGAGGAUCUAUUGGCUAAAGGAAUGAAAAAUGCUCAAAAUGUAAGAUAAUUCUGUUUUUGUUUUUAAAAAUAUGUUCAUUAGAUUGGUAUGUUUGAUAACUCAUUCGCACUUAUGACAGGCUAUACUUACUGGUUGUUCCGCUGGGGGUUUGACUUCGAUUUUGCAUUGCGAUAACUUCCGAGCUCUCUUUCCCGUUGAUACUAGAGUAAAAUGCUUUGCAGAUGCUGGUUAUUUUGUGAAUGCGUAAGCUCCUGUUCUUUCACCAAACGUGAUGUAGCAGUUGCUUCAGUUGUUUUUCUUUUCCGAAAUCUAAUUACCCAGUGUAUUUUUCAAUAGGAAGGAUGUUUCUGGAGAAAGUCACAUUGAGGAAUUUUAUAAACAAGUGGUCGCAUUACAUGUACACACUCUGUCUCUCAUCCUCUUUCACGCUUACCGACACAAAAUAAUGUUGUUACAUCUUGUGUAGGGAUCGGCUAAGCAUUUGCCAGCAUCCUGCACUUCGAGAUUAAGUCCAGGAUUGGUGAGUUUCACCGUUUUAAUGUUUCUACGUUCUAGUCUUCAUCCAUUCGUUUAUGGACUGACCGAUUCCUUUUAAAAUGACAGUGUUUCUUCCCAGAAAACGUGGCAGGGCAAAUCAAGACACCACUAUUUAUCAUUAACUCAGCAUACGAUUCAUGGCAGGUUAGCACAGUUCUUGAAUAUCUAAGAUUAAAUGUCAGAAAAUGUGAUACAUAAGCUUAGUGCAAGAAGGUAAUUUUUUGUACUUAGUGACAUCUCAAGCGAAGCUUGAUUCUUGGGCCUUCUUGUACAAGCAAAAAGAGACUGGCGGAAGAUUUGACACAUUUUUAAUAUGUUAUAUCCGAAGCCAUUGAAUAGUUUCAAUAAAUUAUGUGCAAUUUCAACCUGGUAAUAUUGUUACGAGCGGAAAAUGACAUACACAGAUAUCGAACAUUUUGGUGCCGGAAGAUGCUGAUCCAAAAGGAGCUUGGAGCAGCUGUAAGGUGGAUAUAAAAACCUGCUCAUCUACUCAGCUGCA